GCCUGGAGAAUCCCAGGGACGGGGGAGCCUGGUGGGCUGCCAUCUAUGGGAUCACACAGAGUCAGACACGACUGAAGCGACUUAGCAGCAGCAGCAUGAUACACCACAAAGACAGUGAAACGCAGGUGGAAAGAUUGUCCAAACAGACAUUUUUCACAGGUGUUUUGCUUUUCGACCUCUCUCUUUUCUCUUACCUAAAAGUUGGAUAGUAUUUUACCUUCACCUUGAGCAAGAGAUAUGGGUCGCUUUCAGAUAGAAUGAACAAAAUCAGUGUGAGCUCUGCCUCGUUUUCACUCUGUCACAGCGACCAUCAGCAUUCUGGAAAGUGGCUGCUCCACAGCCUCAGUUCUGCUGUGGGAGCCUCGGAAGCACAACCUCCCCCACCCCCAUCCACCAAAUCCAAGCACGUCACGUGAGCAAGACAUUAGCCGUAGGGUUUUCGGCCGCUGAAUCUGGGAGAUCAUUUCUGCAGCAAAACCAGUGAGACUUAGUCACCCAGCUGACUAGAACCUGACCUGCCUCUAUGGCCCACAACUUAUUUCAGCUAACACUCUGUGCUGCCUUCCAGGUAGAGAAGCAUGGCUGUGUCUUGGUCCUUGCGUGAGCAGCAGGGGGAAAAUUCCCCAGGAUGCAGUUAAGACUGAUGGACAGGGUUUCUUCCUUGGUGGCUCAGUGGUAAAAACUCUGCUUACCAAUGCAGGAGACACGAGUUUGAUCCCCUGGUCCAGGAGGAUCCCACAUGCAGUGGAACAACUAAGCGCAUGCGCCACAGCUCUCGCGCCUGUGCACUCGAGCCCAGGAGCCGCAGCUCCUGAGUCCACCGUGCCACAACUACCGAAGCCCAAAUACCGUAGAGCCUGUGCUCCACAACGAAAGAAGCCACCACAAUGAGAAGCCCCUACUUGCCACAACUAGAGAAAAAAACCUGAGAGCAGUAAUGAAGACCCAGCACAGCCCAAGAAAUAAUUUUUAAAAAAUAGACUGACAGAUAAAGAGAAGUGAGGAUGACCAGGGGACUUCUAUUGAAGAUUUAUUCAGAAGAGAAGAACAGUGACUGUUUGGAUGUAUUGUCUGCCACGCAUGUUGAGUGAACAUUUUGCAUGUAUUUUCUCAAAGAAAGCUCUACUUAAGGGAAAUUUUCUUAAUAGAGUUCCUGGCUUGGAAUUGUUUCCUCUGCUUCAGGGUUUCUCUCUGGGUUAGUCUAUUUUCUUGCAGAACUCAGGACAAUAACCGUCUCCCUUACUAAUCAGCAUGCAAGACGGUUUUCAUUUCCAGUCCAGCAGGAACCCAAGGAUUUCGGUUUGGAUUCCCCUCAAAUCAGAGCCUAAGACAAAGACUCCAGGACAAUGAGUUUAUUUGGGAGGUGAUUAUAAGAAGCUGGAGUUAGAGAGCAGGCUGACUAAAAGAAAAAAGAGGAAAAGCCACUAUGAGGAUGAAGCAUACCUACCAUCCAAGGUCAUCGUGAGGAUAAGAGGCGCUAAUAGAAGUGAAAAUGCCCAACACAGCCCCUGGCACAUACCAGGCACUCAAUAAAUAUGAAUCCCCUGCCCUCCAUUGCCUGGAAAAUUCUGGAGCUGUACUAGACGCUGAAGCAAAUCAACUCUAAAGUCCUUCCAGCUCUUCACUUGUGCUUUCUUUUGGGAUUCUGGUGAAGACUCUGCCCCAACUUGAGUAGCAAUGAGAAACCACUUCAAGUGAAAACCUGAUUUAACAUCUGCUGAGACAAACAAAAAAGAACCCAGGGAAGCAAAAAGCCAUGGAAAGGGAAUGGAAGUGUAAUUCUAUUUUUAUAAAAAAGGAGAUUUCUUCUUCUGGAAUGCUGGGUGGAAAUCUUGAUGAGGGACCUAGCUGUCAUAAAUCCUCUCUGGAACAAAGUAACAAAGGAAGGAAGGGAGAGAAAGAAAGGAGGAAGGGAAGAGAGAGGGCUAAUGGGAGGGAAGAGGAGAGAAUAAAUGAAAGAAGGAAGGAAGGAAAUAAUCCAACAGGGACUCUGCUGAGCAGACCGUAAGACCCAGGGACAGUUUAAAAUGAAACUUCCCUGAAAACCUUUCAGAGAGCUGUACUUCUUCAGAAAAGCAUCAUCAGGGCUGUUCAAUGCCCAGGGCAAAGUCUUUUUCAUAUUAUUGGACAUGAAACAAUAUCACAUUUGAGGUUGGCUGGAGGCCAUUCAGAAUUCAAUAAUUAUUCAACCCAAGGGGCUUUCCAAAUGGUGAUGUAGCUUCUUAGGAGGAAAUUAAUAUUGAGCAGUAUAUCAAAUCUAAUUGGAAUCUUGAGGAAAGAAGGUCCCGAGUAGGUGAAACAGCUGGGGGCUAAUGUAGAACCGGGUGAGUGAUGUCCUCGCUUUUGUGUCUUGCCUUAAUUAUGAUAGGAAAAGGAAAAUCUUGUUUAUUUUUUAUGCUGGGAAGGCAGGGGUUGCUUGGGAGAAGUUCUUCCACGGCACCUUGAGUCUGACAGUAGUUUCUUUUGUUUCUUUGCACAGAUAUUCAAGGAGAACUGUAUCUGCACAACUUCUUGGUUGGCCCUCCAGGGUAGGCAGGGGCUCAUGACUGACUUAUUGGCCACCCAGUGGGUAGCACUGAUCACAAAGCUGCUGCUAGAACUUUGAACAGUACCAUAGAGUAUCAUUUCAGUGGAAAUGACUAUGGACAUCCAGUGUCAUUUUAAAAACAACAUGGAUAACAUGGAGUUUUGUCCUGGUUUGAAAUUGCUUGAUACACACACACACACACAUAUACACUUUUCUUUGAAUUGCCAUUAUGUCAGUGCUUAGGGGGAAAUAUGUACCUUUAUUUCCAGAACCCAGAAUUCACUAACAUAAAUGCUUGUAUCACAGAUCCCAUAAAGCACUGAGACAAUCCCUCCAAACUUGUGACUAGUCAGGAUUUUGUAAACAAAAUCAAAGUGGGUAAGCCCUUACUUUUGAUUUGUUAUGUAGACACUUAGCCUUGCAAAUCAUCAUUGCUUGGGAUCAAAGGAGAGACUCUGAGAACAUCUUCUGUUUGUUAGCAAGCCGCCAGUAGUAAUCAGUUUAGCACACAAUAACUCGGCCAAAAUGAACAGAAUUUUCACCAAAUCUCACCUCUCACCAAACCAAACUGGAGUAGCCCUUGAACUCUGAGCACUGCUCUCCAGGGCAACGUAAUUGUGAGCCUAUGUUCAUCAAUGACAAGGCAUACACGCUCUCUCCACUUUUACUCUAUUGCAGUCUGAUUGUUAUGUUACUAUGGUGAUACCCUUCUGACAUUCCUUCGCUCUUUCGGUGCCCUCUCAGAGGAAUCUGUAAUGAAGUGGUCUGGCCACAGGAUCUUUCUGGGACUUUUCCCAUAGACCACUGAAGACCAGCAUGACUUUCCUCUUCCAGGGAAUUCCCAGGAGACGUCACCCCAAGGGACAGUGGGUCUUUUGGAUUCAGUGUGGAGUGUCACACGCACUGAGAGCUUGGACAGCUUACUCUCCUGGGGGAGGGGCUGUGGGAGGGUGGCUGAAAAUGACUGGACAGAAGAGGACACAGGUUUUUGAGCACUUACCUGUCAGCACUUAAAGUGACAGGUACUCUGCUAAGCACGUUACAUGCAGCCCUCCACUGAGUCCGUACAAUUACUUGUCAUUUACCUCAUUUUAUGAAAUGAAGUAAGCUGACUCAGAGAGACUAGAGACAGCUAACCUCAGUCUUUCAGACUUCGAAGCCCAUUCUCUUAAUUACUGUGAACCUUGUCUCUCUGUACUUCAUCUUUCAGAUAAUUCUGGCUUCUCUCUUUUCCCUAGAAGAGCUUGGAAGUGAGAUUCAUGAGUGGCCACAUCCAAAUUCCUCAGACUUAUCCCAGAGGAACCUGGGACGUGAAAGAGCCUAAAAGCUGACGACCUCCUCCUCUGGGACUAAUACACCCUGUGGCCCUUUCCACUUAUGUAUCAGGAUACGCAGAACACUGAUGGUCAUGAGAGCCAGAUUCAGUGUCUCAAUUUUAGUGGUUGUGUCCUCUGGGAUGAAUUACUUAAUCCUUCCAGCCUUAGUUCAUUUAUCUGUGAAGUGGAAGUGGUGAGAACCAUACUUGUCCAAGGGUUGGGAGGGGCCAGUUGAUCUCAUUGUCCAUUUUUGCCCACUUUUAGAAACUUUUGAGCCUCCUAUAUUUGAGGCUGUGCCCUGAACUCGGAUUUGUAGGUCCAGGAUUGCCCUGCAAACAGUUAGCAGUUUCUGAACACAGUUUAUUCAACAAGAUGUUCGUUUUUCUCUACUGCUUAUUGCCUUUUGAGUUACAGCUUCAGACAUUACUUUGGAAGCUCCUUGAGGUCAUUUUUCUCCAUUAAGAACUGUUAACAAAAUCAUUAAAUCCCCCUGAUCUCUAGCCUAGCUUUUGGGAUCCCAGCCCUCAUCCUCUAACUGCAUUCUAGUCCCCAAACCAACAAGAUGAAUCUUGGUUUCUGGAACACAUUAGCAUUUUUCUCCUUUUGGGUAUCCUUACUCCCGUGGCUCCUUCCGUCUGAAACAGCCUUUCCAUGCGACUCCACCAAUGUCCACCAUCUUAAGUGCAGCCCAAAUGCCACAUCCUCCCUAAAGUUGCCUGUAAUCAGCUCCAACCAGAAUUAAUCUAUCCCAUCUCUAUGCUCCACAAAAACAUGCUGGCCUCUUCUACACUACACUCCAUAGUCUUUGUGUGUGUGUGUUAUUGCUUGUGUUUCUCAUGUCAUUUUUACUAGAUUGGAAGAAUCUUGAGGGCAAGAUCCAGGUUUGCCCAUUGCCAUGCGAUAGGGGCAGUGGAGUGUGAGGGUUAAGGCCAUGGGCUUAAGUCAUACUGUCCAGUCUAAAAUCCACCUACAUGAUGUUCUAGCUGCAUGACCCUAGGCAAGUUAAUUUAACUUCCUAGUCUAUAGUGUCUUCACCUGUACCUACCACAGAGGGAUCUUCUGAGAAUUAAAUGGGAUACUUCAGGUAAAGUACUUAGCAAGUGUGUGUGUGUUAGUCGCUCAGUCGUGUCCAACUCUUUGCAACCCCAUGGACUGCAGUCCACCAGGCUCCUCUGCCCAUGGAAUUCUCCAG